AGCGGCAGGCCUAAUACAUGCAAGUCGGACGGGAUUUGGGAGCUUGCUCCCAAUGAGAGUGGCGCACGGGUGCGUAACACGUAUGUAACCUACCCUUGUCAGGGGGAUAGCCUCUCGAAAGAGAGAUUAAGCCCGCAUAACAUUAAGGAAUAGCAUUAUUCCAUAAUCAAAUAUUUAUAGGACAAGGAUGGGCAUGCGGAACAUUAGCUAGUUGGUAAGGUAACGGCUUACCAAGGCUACGAUGUUUAGGGGAUCUGAGAGGAUGACCCCCCACACUGGUACUGAGACACGGACCAGACUCCUACGGGAGGCAGCAGUAAGGAAUAUUGGUCAAUGGGCGCAAGCCUGAACCAGCCAUGCCGCGUGCAGGAAGACGGCCCUACGGGUUGUAAACUGCUUUUGCAGGGGAAUAAACCCCCGUACGUGUACGGGGCUGAAUGUACCUUGAGAAUAAGGAUCGGCUAACUCCGUGCCAGCAGCCGCGGUAAUACGGANGAUCCAAGCGU
rnacentral:rRNA from 1 species